UAUUUUGCUAUGACUGUGAUCUACUUUCGGUGUUCUGUAUUAAGUCAAUUUUGUUAGAUUCUUGGCUUUGUUUUAUCAAAAAAUUUCUCAUGCUAACUGCUGAUUAUUACUUAUUUUAGUUAUUGCGUUCUGAGCCAAAUUGUUCUGCAAGUGUUCCAAAAUUUCAUUUUCUUGUAGAUUGUUGGUAAUUUGAAAAUAGAAAGCUUGAGCAUAUCAUUUCUACGCGUG
rnacentral:misc_RNA from 1 species